GCACCGCUGGUCUAGUGGUAUCAUGCAAGAUUCCCAUUCUUGUGAGCUGGGUUCGAUUCCCGGGCGGUGCA